rnacentral:rRNA from 1 species
UUAAACGGCCGCGGUACCCUAACCGUGCAAAGGUAGCAUAAUCAUUUGUCUACUAAUUAUAGACCUGUAUGAAAGGCAAAAUGAGGGUCCAACUGUCUCUUAUAAUAAAUCAAUUAAACUGAUCUUCUAGUAAAAAAGCUAGAAUAAUAACAUAAGACCAGAAGACCCUGUGAAGCUUAAAUAAAACUAUUAAACCACAUAAUAGCUACUUUCGGUUGGGGCGACCUUGGAAAAAAAAAGAACUUCCAAGACCCAGCACAGCUGACAAUUGAACCAAGUUACUCCAGGGAUAACAGCGCAAUCUUCUUCAAGAGCCCAUAUCAAAAAGAAGGUUUACGACCUCGAUGUUGGAUCAGGACAUCCUAAUGGUGCAGCCGCUAUUAAGGGUUCGUUUGUUCAACGAUUAACAGUCCUACGUGAUCUGA